rnacentral:rRNA from 1 species
UUUGUAGAGGAUGCUUUUGGCGCGGUGCCUUCCGAGUUCCCUGGAACGGGACGCCUUAGAGGGUGAGAGCCCCGUACGGUUGGACACCAAGCCUCUGUAAAGCUCCUUCGACGAGUCGAGUAGUUUGGGAAUGCUGCUCUAAAUGGGAGGUAAAUUUCUUCUAAAGCUAAAUAUUGGCCAGAGACCGAUAGCGCACAAGUAGAGUGAUCGAAAGAUGAAAAGCACUUUGAAAAGAGGGUUAAAUAGCACGUGAAAUUGUUGAAAGGGAAGCGUUUGCGACCAGACCUUUUCCUAGCGGAUCAUCCGGUGUUCUUCGCCGGUGCACUUCGCUAGGUCGAGGCCAGCAUCGGUUUCUGUAGGGGGAUAAAAGCUCAGGGAACGUAGCUCCUUCGGGAGUGUUAUAGCCCUCCGCAUAAUACCCUUACGGGGACCGAGGACCGCGCUUUUUGCAAGGAUGCUGGCGUAAUGGUCGUCAACGACCCGUCUUGAAACACGGACCAAGGAGUCGAACAUUUGUGCGAGUGUUUGGGUGUUAAACCCUCACGCGUAAUGAAAGUGAACGGAGGUGAGAGCCCUUACGGGUGCAUCAUCGACCGAUCCUGAUGUCUUCGGAUGGAUUUGAGUAAGAGCAUAACUGUUCGGACCCGAAAGAUGGUGAACUAUGCGUGGAUAGGGUGAAGCCAGAGGAAACUCUGGUGGAGGCUCGCAGCGGUUCUGACGUGCAAAUCGAUCGUCAAAUCUGCGCAUGGGGGCGAAAGACUUAUCGA